AGAACGAACGCUGGCGGCAUGCCUAAUACAUGCAAGUCGAACGAACUCUUCGGAGUUAGUGGCGCACGGGUGCGUAACGCGUGGGAAUCUGCCCCUUGGUUCGGAAUAACAGUUGGAAACGACUGCUAAUACCGGAUGAUGACGAAAGUCCAAAGAUUUAUCGCCAAGGGAUGAGCCCGCGUAGGAUUAGCUAGUUGGUGAGGUAAAGGCUCACCAAGGCAACGAUCCUUAGCUGGUCUGAGAGGAUGAUCAGCCACACUGGGACUGAGACACGGCCCAGACUCCUACGGGAGGCAGCAGUAGGGAAUAUUGGACAAUGGGCGAAAGCCUGACCCAGCAAAUGCCGCGUGAGUGAUGAAGGCCUUAGGUUGUAAAGCUCUUUUACCCGAGAUGAUAAUGACAGUAUCGGGAGAAUAAGCCCCGGCUAACUCCGUGCCAGCAGCCGC
rnacentral:rRNA from 1 species